rnacentral:rRNA from 1 species
UACGUAGGUGGCAAGCGUUGUCCGGAAUUAUUGGACGUAAAGCGCGCGCAGGUGGUUUCUUAAGUCUGAUGUGAAAGCCCACGGCUCAACCGUGGAGGGUCAUUGGAAACUGGGGAACUUGAGUGCAGGAGAGAAGAGUGGAAUUCCACGUGUAGCGGUGAAAUGCGUAGAGAUGUGGAGGAACACCAGUGGCGAAGGCGACUCUUUGGCCUGUAACUGACACUGAGGCGCGAAAGCGUGGGGAGCAAACAGG